UACGGGAGGGUGCAAGCGUUGUUCGGAAUUAUUGGGCGUAAAGCGCGCGCAGGCGGCCUGAAAGUCUAUGGGUGAAAUGCCGGGGCUCAACCCCGUGUGUGCCCAGGAUACUGUCAGGCUGGAGACACGUAGAGGCAAGCGGAAUUCCGGGUGUAGCGGUGGAAUGCGUAGAGAUCCGGAAGAACACCGGAGGCGAAGGCGGCUUGCUGGGCGUGAUCGUGACGCUGAGGCGCGAAAGCGUGGGGAGCGAACAGG
rnacentral:rRNA from 1 species